rnacentral:rRNA from 1 species
AUGAAGACAUUGUGUUGGAAAUGACGUGGAAUUGGCGAUCCCGCGAUGGUUCGUAAGCUCCAUGAUCUUGUGGAGGCAUGUGCGCCGAUGGUGCUAUAUAUUGUGGAGACACAAAUUGCAAAGUACCGGGUGGAAGGCUUGGCGGGUAGACUAGGUUUUGAUAGUAGUUUUGGAGUAGGAAGUAGUAGUAGGAGUGGAGGUUUA